rnacentral:lncRNA from 1 species
UAAACAGAAUAUAGGGACGCCUGGGUGACUCAGCGGUUGAGUGUCUGCCUUCAGCUCAGGGCGUUAUCCCGGGGUCCAGGAUCCAGUUCCACAACAGGCUUCCUGUGAGGAGCCCGCUUCUCCCUCUGCCUAUGUCUCUGUCUCUCUCCCUCUGUGUCUCUCAUGAAUAAAUAAAUAAAUAAAAUCUUAAAAGGAAAACUGAAUAUAUAUGUAUACACACAUACACACACACAGAGAUAAAGAUGUCACAAUGGGUAGUGAAGUCAAGGCUCAACUUCUGGUUCCCAUGGGAGCUAGGACAACAGGCUUUCCCAGACUCCAUGCAUUAUAUGCUCGGGCCCUCCCUGUGUUUGAGGGCCACAGUGCUGGGAAUACUCACUGCUGACAUCACUGAACUUCCCAUCCCUCCUCUGCUUCAUGCUCCUCUUAAGAGCUGCCAGGGAGGGGCGAAAAUAAAGGUCACUCCAGCAGAUGCUGGCAAGGUGACUGAAGCAAAUGGUUCAAGAACUGGCGCUUGA